rnacentral:lncRNA from 1 species
GCGGAAGCUGGGCGUGAGGGCAGGCCUGGCACUCGGGGCCCCUGAGAGAGCACGGGGAUGGCGGCCCACCCCAGGGGACGCCCCUGGCCAGCCCCGGCCGGGAGACUCACAGGCAAAGAACUGCCACGGCUGGUAGGUGUGGCCGAAGUCCGUGGACCGCUCCAGCACCCAGAGGUCCGGUCUCGGCGAGUUGGCGAACUUGAUGAGCACAUAGGCCACGUGGAAAACCUGCGGGAGGGUGAGGUGUUGACGCCCCCAGGCCCCCUCCCCUCAGCUCAGGGCCUGGACGGCCACCCCACCCCGUAAGGGGGGGCUCUCUUCUCCCACGCUGGACAUCUGUGGGCUUGGCCCACGAGGGCCAGCCGGCUCGGGGCACAGCCCCUUGGCUCAGGCCUGUGGCUGCCGAGGCCCAUGCCGGGGACACAGAGACUGAGGGUGGGAACCCCCAUUUCUGACGGUCUCCCUUCCUGGGCCUGGGGUGCCUCCCUCCACCUCUGCCCCAGCGGCACGUGGGUCAGGCUCAGUCUGCAGGCAGGCCUGGGGGCCGGGGUAGAAGGGGCACAGGGGCAGUCUGUCCACAGUGCCCAGGCAGCGAGGCUGGCCGGCCAAGUCAGGUGCUCAUUCCACUGUCCCCAAGGCUCUGGUGGCCGGCCUGGGCAGGUGGCCAGACGGUAGCCCCAGCUCCCAAAUGGGCCUGGCCUCCUCAAACAGCCAGCAGCUCCCGGAACGGGGCCCCUCUCCAGCCUCACCCCGGUCACCCCCAUGGCACUCUCAGAGCUGACUCAGGACCAGCUCCCUCUCCCACUGACCGGCCCACGGCCCCGGAGGCCCCGACGGCAGGUCCCUGUGCUCAUCAGGAGACCCCAGUGGGGCAGAGGGGCUGGACCAUAAGCCCUCUCAGAUCUGGGCCAAGGAACCCUCGCCAGCCCAGGAGCUGGUACUUCACAGGGCCCGGGGCAUGUCAGGGCGGCACCCAGCCCGGGAAGGGCAAAGCUGUUCCCGCAGAGGCACCUAGAAUCCCUCAAGCACCGGCAGGCAGCACAGGGGCACCUCUCCUGCUCUGUCCCAGCACAACCUCACUCCAGGGAGGUAUGCCUCUCACCUCUUCCUCACCGGAGGACAGCAUCCCUGGAUGUCCCUAAAUGUCUUGUGCCUCCAGGGGCUUGGUGGGGUCCCUCCUCUGUCGACUGCUUCCCCGGCCCCGCAGCCUAGCAGGUGUUAGCCUUGAUCCCCCAGCCCCAUCCGACACGGGAUCUACAGGGCAAUCGGGACACCUCCUCGGGGAAGCCCUCCUGACUGCAGUCCACCCAUGCUGGCUCCGGAGCCCCCGGUAUGCAGACACAUAGGGCGAGGUAAUGAAGGAGCCCCUUUCAAGAGGCAGCGCCCCACGGAGGCUGGAGGACCCUUACAGGUUGUGGACCCAGCUCCUUGGGGGUGCGGCGCAUGGCAGGGGGUCCCCACAUCAGCAUCCAGAGCCCCCAACUCUGGGCCACAGUUCCCAGGAAAGGGCUCUGGCUCACUGAGAACAGCCAGGAGGCUCAGGCACCUGCCCGGCCGUGGCCUGGAUGAUGAGGCUGGGCCACCGAGACCCCUGAGAGGCAAGGGUGGCUGAGGAGGCCCACCCUCGCACACCAGCCGGGCAUGACUGCCCCGCCCCUGCACACACGCUUCUGGGGGGGGUGGUGUCCCUGCACCCACCCGGCCUCAGCCUCCCCUGUGUGCUGACGGGAUGGGGGAGGGACAGUGUUUUCCAGGCCUCGAAGCUCUGAGGGCCAGUGAGCGCCUCCCCCUCCCCCAGCCCUCUGCCCCGCCGCUAAGGGAACAACAAAGCCGGCAGGGCCACUGUGCAGGCUCUGCCCGUGCAGGGUGUGUUUGGGCUCCAAGGAGACACGGGCAGGGCGGGCAGUGGGACUCGGACGGCCCCUAAUCUGCACAGGGAAGGCUGGGCACUCAGGAGGGGCGGGGGGGUCCCACACAAGAGCAGACAGAGUGAGCAGACAGGCCGCGUGGGGCGCCCACACCCCCACCCCAGGCGCACUCCCAGGGCCCCCCCCCCAGGUAGGCAGUGGACGGUGCACCAGCCUCAGAGGUGACGUCACCCAUCAGGCCCCCCACCGUGCCCUCAGCAGGGCCCCGCCAGCGCCUGCUGCCCUGGAACAGAGCACUGGGGCCCCACGGGACGAGGCAGGGGCCACUUCAAGGCUGCCCAAGGCCCACAGUCAACCCCCAUCAACUAACUGGGGCCGCCGUGGUGAUCCUGUGAGGGAAGGUGGGCACGGGCCGCUAAGGAUGGGGGGAGGGGGACGGGAAAGUCCCAGGCCCCUGGGACACACCCGUUCCGAGUCCUGUCAUUCCCAGAAGGCCUGGAGUUUUCAGAGACAGGCCCAGCUGAAGCCAAGAGCCGCCUUUCCCCGGGGAGGGGGGUGGGGGCGCGGGCUUCUGAGGUCAUCGUCCGUUCAGUGCCGCCUGCGGGGGAGGGGCUGAGUCUCUGGGGCACAGACCCCACACCCAGACUGACACCUCGGCCAGCCCUCAGGCGCUCCAGGGAGCCCCGGGGACCUCAAAUGGCCCCUACUGCAGGAGGGGUCUUUGUGAGGGAGGAGGGGGGCGUGGCAGGUGGAGGGGGGGCCCCGGGUGUGUGCAAGGUGCCCACAGGCUGCUGUUGGGUGGGGGCGGCAGCUCGGCCCCCAGCAGAGGCCCCGAGGAAAUGAAAGGUUCCCGCCAAGCCCCCUGGGACCCACCCCCGCCUUUCCCUGAGCGAGGCCACCGGGCUGCGCCCUCCGCUGGCCGGCUCUGUCCCUCCCCCAGGUCGGCGGCCGGUCGCAUUUUUCCCAGCUGAGGGCACUUGCACAAAUAUUGAUUCGAACGCACGGAGCAGGCGGGACGAGGGCGGCACGGAAACUUCCACCCUGUGCGCAGCGCCCUAGACGCGAGCAAGACCCCUGCCUCCGUCUGUUUGCCACCUCGUCACCAGCCUGUCACCCGGGGGGCCCCAGACAGCUGUGCCCACGGCCCCAGGCUGGAGGGGACGUGGCCGCGCACCCAGCCCUCCCCAUCUGUCCCCAACCGGUUCCGGCUGCCAGGACCGCACAGCUGCCCUGGAUGUGGCCUGGGAGCAGCAGCAGACCCCUGGCCUCCCUGGACACGGCCGUCCCCCCGCCCGCCCGCCCGCGGCGCUCCGCUGCCAGCUGGGGCUGACCUUUCCCGCCGCCGCGAAGCUCCGUGCAAAAGGGAAAAAAUGCCCUUUAAAGCGAGAGCCAAACAAAA